CCUUCAAAAUGAUGUUUGCUUUUGUUCAAUCCAUAGAUAUGAAUCACAGACCAGACAAAGCAGGCUAUAUGCGAAGGAAUGAAUUUAAGGCACCACUGAUUUCUGGGCAAUACCACGGAAGCUCCAGAGAUCUAGGAAAUGGAAAGUGUUGUGUAUUCCUGAUCUUGUCAAUUCAAGCUCUGGAAAGAAGCUCCCAGAAAGAGGUUCAUGCUGGAUCUCAUCAGAGAACAUUAGUGAUGAAGACAGAAGUAAUUAGAAGUCAUACAGAGCAAGCUAAAAUGAUACUCAUUAAAUCUUCCAAGAAAGAAAAUGCACACUUUUGGAAAGGCAGAAAAAGGACAGUCCAGGUAUGUUGGCAAAUGUAACAAUAUCAAGCAGAUUAACCCUAUUGGCAAAACAAA